rnacentral:rRNA from 1 species
UACGGAGGUUGCAAGCGUUAUCCGGAUUUACUGGGUUUAAAGGGUGCGUAGGCGGGCUUUUAAGUCAGCGGUGAAAUCUCCGGGCUCAACCCGGAAAUUGCCGUUGAUACUAUUAGUCUUGAAUAAUGUUGAGGUGGGCGGAAUGUGUCAUGUAGCGGUGAAAUGCUUAGAUAUGACACAGAACACCGAUUGCGAAGGCAGCUCGCUAAACAUUUAUUGACGCUGAGGCACGAAAGCGUGGGGAUCAAACAGG